rnacentral:lncRNA from 1 species
UAUAAACAACUUAACUCAUAUCCCUAACUUGAUAGUCAUAGUUUCAAGCAAUAAUAGCCGAGACCAUAUACAACAUACCGAAGGAUUGAGAAAAAAUUACUUUAUUUAAGCAACUAGCAACCAGAUUUCUAAAAGGCAAGAGGUCAAUAUCAACCAUCAAGAAAACUAUAUGUAUGUCGGAACAAAAUAGAGUCAUGACAACCGGACGUUAAUAAAAGAGAAAAUAAUUUCUAUAAUCAGAUUUGGUCUACAUUACUGGAGUCGAAAAGAGAAAGAUCCUACCAACCGGUUAGAUCCAGCAAGAGAGAGGGGAAGCACUCCUUAGAACCACAAGAUAUUACUGCCAUCCCUUGCUAGAAUGAAGCUUGAUUGGCACAAUCAGGAGACCUUCACCUGCAAAACAAAGAAAAACAUAGACUAAAAGCAACCAACACAACUAGGUAAGAGAAAAUAGAAAACUCACUCACUGAAGAACCUCUUCCCGUCUAAGUGACAAUACACAAAAAAAAUUUCCUCACCUAAAAGGAUAAGGAACAAAACCCACAUAGUCGGCCUCAAGCUCAAAAAAACAAAGGCCUCCGGCCUCACCGUAAAAAUAGCAUAAUAUAGAGAAACACAUUCUCUCUAAAAACUUAGAGAG